rnacentral:lncRNA from 1 species
CCUUUUCUCCCCUCUGAGGUGAGCAAAGGCCAGCGACAUCCUAAUGCACGCAGGGGUGUGGGCAGGGUCCUCAGAGCAUCUUACAUCCAAACUAAGUUGUAACAGUCGGGGCCCUGCGUCAUAUGCCGAGGCAACUCACAGGCCUGUGGGAGACCCCGGGCGUCCUAAAAGGAAUAUUUGAAUUCAUAGGUCUUAUGCAUUAGUUUAGCAAAAAGUCUGGUUUCUGGUACCCAAAGAGCUUAAAGUCCCCUUCGAAACGGGCAUACAGGCGUCGGAUGUCUCGUUUGCUGAUGCCCAGGAAAUAGUGCUCCACCUUGGUUCUGUUAUACACGGUAAUGCCCGGAGGGAU